UUUCUGUCAGGCGAACCGUCACCGGAUGGUGUGCCUGUCAAGCAAUCGCUUGACUAGCCUACAGGAACGUC
rnacentral:sRNA from 12 species